CCGCCUUCCUGCCACUCCUCCCGCCUUCCUGCCCUCCGCUGCCUGUGGCUCCUCACUUCCCCGGCCGUGCCGUCAGGGGCGCUCCAGAGCAGCCCCGGUGCCCACGUCUCAUCGCAGCCCUCUGGCAGGACAGCGCGCGUCUAAACUAAGCCGAGGCGCACUUCGCUAAGGGGACCUCUCCGUUUGGACAAUCCCGACGCCCGGCUCUACGUCGGCUUGAUUGGAAAGAGGGAUGGCCGUGGUGAGAGUUGACAGUGUGCUGGUAGCCCUCGCAGCCCACGCUCGCUCUCGGCGCCUCCUCUGCCUGGGCUCCCACUUUGACGGCACUUGAGGAGCCCUCCAGCCCGCCGCCGCACUGUGGGAGCCCCUUGCUGGGCUGGCCGAGACCGGAGCCAGCUCCCUCAGCUUGCAGGGAGGUGUGGAGGGAGAGGCAUGGGCGGGAACCAGGGCUUCGCGGGUGCCUGCGGGCCAGCACGAGUUCCGGGUGGGCGUGGGCUCAGCGGGCCUCACACUGGGAGCCGCAGGCCGGCUCGCAAGUCCCGGGCAGUGAGGAGCUUACUACCCGGGCCAGCAGCUGCGGAGGGUGUGCCGGGUCCCCCAGCAGUGCCGGCCCACCGGCUCUGUGCUGGAUUUCUUGCCGUGCCUUAGCUGCCUCCCCUCGGGCAGGGCUGGGGACCUGCAGCCUGCCAUGCCUGAGUCUCCCUCCGCACUGCCAGAUGCUCCUGCCGGGCCUGAGUCUCCCCGACGAGCGCUGCCCCAUGUUCCACGGCGCCCGAUCCCAUCCACUGCCCAAGGUCUGAGGAGUGCCAGCGCACGGCGACGGAGUGGCAGGCAGCUCCACCUGCGGCCCCGGUGUGAGAUCCACUGGAUGAAGCCAGCUGGACUCCUGAGUCUGGUGGGGACUUGGAGAAUCUUUAUGUCUAGCUGGGGGAUUGUGAAUGCACCAAUCAGCACUCUGUAUCUAGCUCAAGGUUUGUAAACACACCAAUCAGCACCCUGUGUCUAGCUCAGGGUUUGUGAAUGCACCAAUCGACACUCUGUUUCUAGCUAAUUUAGUGGGGCCGUGGAGAACUUUUGUGUCGAACUCAGGGAUUGUAAACGCACCAAUCAGCACUCUGUCAAAAUGGACCAAUCAGCUCUCUGUAAAACAGACCAAUCGGCUCUCUGUAAAAUGGACCAAUCAGCAGGAUGUGGGUGGGGCCAGAUAAGAGAAUAAAAGCAGGCUGCUCCGCGCUAGCACUAGCAAGUUGCUAGAGUGGCCUGCCACAGUGUAAGUUUUGUUCUUUAGCUCUUUGCAAUAAAUCUUGCUACUGCCCACUCUUUGGGUUUACACUGCAUUUAUGAGCUGUAACACUCAUGGUGAAGAUUUACAGGUUCAGUCCUGAAGCCAGCGAGACAAAGAACCCACUGGGAAGAACAAACAACUCCAGACGCCCCAACUUAAGAGCUGUUAACACCCGAAGAUCUGCAGCUUCACUUUUGAGCCAGCGAGACCACGAACCCACCAGAAGGAAGAAACUCUGAACAGGCUGGAACGUCAGAAGGAACAAACUCAGGACAUGCCACCUUUAAGAACUGUAACACUCACUGUGAGGGUCUGCGGCUUCAUUCUUGAAGGCUGUGAGACCAAGAACCCACCAAUUUCGGACACACUGGGACCACCCUCGCUGACUGGAGCACUUGAGGCAAUCAUUCCCAGAUAGUGGAACCUCGAAUGGCAGACACUGUGGUUCUCCUGCGGGGCUGAGAACUGUGAGGAGCAGAGCAGACUUCAUGGAGCUCCACAAGUCACAUACACAGGCGGCUGCUGGCUAUUUCCGCUUUCUCAUCUGGAAUUGGCAGCGGACUAAGUGGGCCCUACUUAUUAGAUAAGGAAACUGAGGCACACAAGGUCAGCUAACCUGCCCGAGGUCUCUAGCUAGUGACUGGAAGAGGUGUUCUCUGGAUAUUAUUUGAAUCUCAGUCUCGCUAUAUUUCUUCGUCAUGACUGUAACUUUCCCCCUGUAUUUCUAAAUAUUUUAAUCUCUUGAUCAUAUAGCAUACGUUGAUUUAAUAAAUCACUUUUACAUGCAUUAUCGUAUUUGGUAUUCAUCACAGCUCUCUGAGGUGGGUAAGGGAGAUUUGGUUACUUCUUUCUGACAAAUGAGAAAAAUGAUGCUCAUAGACACUGUUAAGUUAGAAGCACAGGGCGUUAAUUCUGGAAGUGUUUUAAAGAUUACCCAAUCCAGCCACUCAACUUUUAGGAAAUUGAGCGUCAGAAAAAUAAAUGCCUUUCUCUAGUUCCCACAGCUGGCUGCAGUACCAAUCACCUGCCUCUGAGUUCAUUGCCAGCUGGGUGCUGUGGAACUUACCUUGACUUUGGAGUUAAUUAUCCAACUUCUCUGAGCUAUA
rnacentral:lncRNA from 10 species